GCUCAAGGAAAGGGAUUUCAAAAGGCACAUGUCCCAUCUGUCAGGGUCAGCGGGAGAGGAACCGUGAGAAGCAGCGGGCAGCUGGAGUUCACUCGGGGUGAGCGGCCGGUGGGGGGGGGGGGGCUCGGAGGGUGGGAAACAGCGGGGAGGAAGGCACCCAGGGUUCCCACGCUGGAUCCCGCCAGUGCGAGGAGGGAGCAGCAGCACGGACGCGCCCCGGCGUGGGAAAGGCGCCCUGUCCGUGAGCGUCUGAAGAAGCAGGUCCCACUCCCAGAAGAGGCCUGGCCACGGCCUGUGACAGAUGCGGAUGUGAAACUGGAGACACUGGGUGAGAGCAAGGUGCCUGGAGCUGCUUGGGGGUCUAUGGGCGUAGAAUUCAGGAGAAUUGUCUUUUUCUUCUUUUUCUAAUACCUACAGGACCAAGACCAAUUUUUCUGCAUUUUCCAAUUUUUUUUCCAGGACUGUGCUUUUGAGAAUCAUAAAAAAGAAUACAGGGAAGCGGCUGUGGCUCAAACGAUGGGGCUCCCGCCCACCAUAUGGGAGGCCCUGGGUUUGCGUCCCAGGGCCUCCUUGUGAGGGCAAGCUGGCCCGUGCCCCCGGAGAGCUGAUGGCCCGUGCGCCGCGGAGAGCUGGUGCAGCAAGUAGACGCAACAAAGGGAGACAAGCCGAUACAGAAAAAACGUG
rnacentral:lncRNA from 1 species